UAAUUCUUAAACAAUUGUAUUAAAUUCUUCAAUCUCCCAAAUCUUCUCCUUCUAAGUACAUUACUUUCCAUAAUUCUUAAACAAUUGUAUUAAAUUCUUCAAUCUCCCAAAUCUUCUCCUUCUGCCGAGACCAAUAACAAAAAGGGGGGAAAAGUUUGUUUCUUCCAUUUCUAAAUUAAACACUUACCUAUUAAUAAUUAAUGCUUUCUAAUAUAGUUCAAUCAUAAAUUGCAUCAUUUCAAUAAUUAACACCAUGAAUCCCCAAAUUCACAUAAUCAUAGCAAUUUAAUUUCUUCAUCAAAGCACAAAAUUAUAAUAAUUAAUCAUUUUAAACAUGUUCUUCAACUUGGAUAAAGAUUCAAGGAAUGGGUGCAAGAAAAAUUCAAGUUUCCUUCUUCUCCCUUUUUAAACCCUAGCUUUAGAUUUCCUUCGUCUUCACCAUCGCGACCACUUUAUUUUCAUGUAAUAGCCCCUGUCAUUGUGACCAACUUAUUUUCAUAUAAUAGCCCUCGCCAUUGUUGCCAACUUAUUCUUAUAUAAUAGUCCCUGCCAAUGACUAAUUUACAUUUAAUAGUCCCUGUCAACACGAUCAACUUAUUUUUAAUUUUGAACAUAUAUUUGCAUUUUUAUCUUAUUUAUAUACCAUGUAUUUACGUAAAUCUCCUUUUAGAUAAAAAAAAGGUAACAAGAAGAACACAUACCUUGUGCUCCUACUGUGUGUGCUCCUCCUAACACGGGGCCCUUAAGAAGGAAAAAAGGCCCAAUUCUUCUAGUUCAGUUUUUUAGAAUGUCUAAAAAGAAGGAUAAGAAGAAUAAGUGUGCUAUCUCUAAAGCAAAUAAACCUACUGGAGGCAUCAAGAAAGACAAAGACAUUUGUCACCAUUAUGGUAAGGAAGGACAUUGAAGGAGGAAUUGCAAGGAAUACCUUGCAACUGUGAAGGUAGAAAAGCUCAGUAAAGCUUAUACUUCAGGAACUAAAAAUAAGUAGAAGAUUAGUUAAAAGCAAAGUGGACCUACAAUUCAGUAAUGGAGCAAUGGUUGCUGCAUUAGCUGUAUGAACUAGUUAUUUUGUUUUGCCUAAUGAGCUGAUACUCGAACUUUAUAAUUGUUAUUUUGUUCCAAUAUUUUAAGACAUUGUUUUCAUUUUAUUUAGUAUUAAAUGGAUUUAAAUUUAUUAUUGAGGACAAAUGUUGUUAUUUUAUAAUAAUGAUAUUUUCAUGGA